UACGAAGGGGGCUAGCGUUAUUCGGAAUCACUGGGCGUAAAGCGCGUGUAGGCGGUCUGAAAAGUCAGAGGUGAAAUCCCAGAGCUUAACUCUGGAACUGCCUUUGAAACUCUCAGACUUGAAUUUGGUAGAGGAUAGUGGAAUUCUUAGUGUAGAGGUGAAAUUCGUAGAUAUUAAGAGGAACACCAGUGGCGAAGGCGACUAUCUGGGCCAAUAUUGACGCUAAGACGCGAAAGCGUGGGGAGCAAACAGG
rnacentral:rRNA from 1 species